rnacentral:rRNA from 1 species
CAGUAGCCGCGGAAUACGGAGGGAGCUAGCGUUGUUCGGAAUUACUGGGCGUAAAGCGCGCGUAGGUGGUUUGGUAAGAUGGAUGUGAAAUCCCCGGGCUCAACCUGGGAACUGCAUCCAUAACUGCCUGACUAGAGUACGGUAGAGGGUGGUGGAAUUUCCUGUGUAGCGGUGAAAUGCGUAGAUAUAGGAAGGAACACCAGUGGCGAAGGCGACCACCUGGACUGAUACUGACACUGAGGUGCGAAAGCGUGGGGAGCAAACAGGAUUAGAUACCCGCGUAGUCCCUGUCUCUUAUACA